AGAAUAUAAGAAUCCGACUCUUAACUUUUAACUGAAAAAGUUAAGAGUCGGCUCUUAAAUCUCUUAUUUAAGAGCCGAUUCUUAGCAUUUUCAGUUAAAAAUUAAGAAUUGAAUUCUUAUAUUCU
rfam:Brassica oleracea var. oleracea cultivar TO1000 chromosome C2, whole genome shotgun sequence